UGUGAAGAUCUCUGUGCUCAAGAGGAAUUUGAUCCUGAAGUCUCUUCAUUUCCAGCUGGGUCUUGGGCUUCUCUCGGAAUUAUGCAUGGUAGACUGGAGUGGAUGGUCACACCAGUAAACCCAGAAUCUCUUCUCUUUACACAGCUCAAGGCCUCUCUGUUUGUAUUGCUGCAACUGAGGCAGAUGAUGAAACAGGACUGAGCCCCUCACAGUGGGUUAUGCCCUUCACCCAUCUCCAGGGUGGUCUGCUAAGGGCUGGACUGGCACAAUGAUCGGCCACUCUUCUUCCAUGAUCCAGGCUGCUUUGAUGAUGCUACUGAUAACCCCAUGUUUUUCUCUCAGGCCAUUUGAUGACCAACAUGGGGAAAUACUUAGGCCAUUGCCAAGGGACAUGGAGGAAAAGACAUUUUCAGGAACCACUCCGUAUUGGAAUGACAAAAAACAGUGGUGCUUCUUGCUUGAAACAAGAGGAUCCUGUGGUUUGAUAAAAUAUGUUUUGAAUACCCAAGGAGGGCUUUCUUUUGAAGGCGUAUAAACUGCAGUCUCUCUUACAAUCUGAAUGUGCUCAGAGAAUAAAGGGAGCUGCUCCUUUAUCCGUGACUCUCAGCGCGGCGUCCCAGGAAAAGGCUUUGGAGUCCACUCGGCAAACAUUGCGUUAGAAGAAAGAAGGGGGACAAAGUUGGGGAAGAUCCCAAGAUGUGGGAUUUGAAUGUUAAAUGAAAACCACACCCAGUGUUCAGUGUUCCCUCGGGCAAGAAAGCAUGGCUCUUGCCUGGUGGAGCCCCAGAGUGAAACGUGGAGCUUCUGAGUUAAUGGAGAAGAGAGGGAAGAAAGGAGAGAGCAGAACAGAGUCCUGGCACCACAGAGGCUGUGGUUUGUUGAUCCUGUUUUCUUCCUGCAUUAACAUCAAAUAGAAACUCAGCAUUCCUUGUUCGUCAUUUCCUCCUUUCCCUAAAGAGCUGUAUGUAUGGCUCCAAGAGAGAUGGGAGGCCACAAAGUGCUGGCUGUCCUGCCUGGCACUGGAGGUCUUACUGUCAGUCCAUGCAGGUGCCCUUGGGCCCAAUUCCAGCAGAUGAUAGCUUUGGCGUUGACAGCAGUGUCUCCAUUAUCAUCAGCACCAUUUCUUGUAGUGUCCUCAGACUUGUUCCAGAGACUCUGCAGCCCUCACUGUUCCUCCUGCUAAACAGCUCUGAGGUAUUUUUUUUUUAAAUUUACCUUUAUUAUUGAGAGUAUGACAGAUAUCUCCCAUUUUUCCACCAUUGCCCCCCUCUACCCAGUUCCCACACCACACUAUUGUCAGUGUUCAUGGGCUAUGCAUAUAUGCAUAUAGGCUCUUCAGUUAAUCUCUACAUACUCCCCCUCGCCCCCUUCCCUCUGAGAAUCUUCAGUCUGUUGCAUGCUUCCAUGCCUCUGGACCUAUUUUAUUCGUUGGUUUAUUUUGUUCAUUAGAUUCCACAUAUAAGUGAGAUCAUGUGAUAUUGGUCUGUCUCUGGCUGGCUUAUUUCACUUAGCAUAUUGCUCUCCAGGUCCCUCCAAGCUGCCUCAAAAGGGAAGAGAUUC